rnacentral:misc_RNA from 1 species
GAUGAAGAACGUAGCGAAAUGCGAUAAGUAAUGUGAAUUGCAGAAUUCAGUGAAUCAUCGAAUCGUUGAACGCACAUUGCGCCCCCUGGUAUUCCGGGGGGCAUGCCUGUUCGAGCGUCAUUUCACCACUCAAGCCUCGCUUGGUAUUGGGCAACGCGGUCCGCCGCGUGCCUCAAAUCGACCGGCUGGGUCUUCUGUCCCCUAAGCGUUGUGGAAACUAUUCGCUAAAGGGUGUUCGGGAGGCUACGCCGUAAAACAACCCCAUUUCUAAGGUUGACCUCGGAUCAGGUAGGGAUACCCGCUGAACUUAAGCAUAUCAAUAAGCGGAGGA